GGCCAUCCCAAAAACAAAGGCAGGAAUGACAUCUGAGCAGCAAAGAAGCACAUCCAUUGAACAGACAAUGAAGCCCCGGGAAAAAGAUUUGAUAAUCACUGAAACCCUGUGGGAGCAGUCAGGCAUGUACGCCGGGCUAUUCUCAAACCAGUGACUUCUCAUUAGUGAUGCUCAAGGCCAGGGGGAUGUGGAUUGACACAUCUAAGGUCCUGAAAGUAAAUAACUGCCAACCAAGAUCUCUAGAUACAGCAAUGCUUUCUUUUUUUUUUUUAAUUAACAGACAAAUAAAAGCAGAUCAAGACUCUGUA
rnacentral:lncRNA from 1 species